CUUGCUCAAACCCCCCCAGGUCUUCUCGCUGUCCGCUGCGUGUGGGAUAUUAGACUGUUAUUCUGAUGGAAGUCGCAGUUGUUGUACAGAUGCAGAAUUUCACGUUGCCUGCUGAGCAGCUGCAGGUUUCCAGAAAAAAGCCAGCAGCUGAUUUGCAGCCUUUUAUAAAACCAAUUCCAUAUUACCACAUAACCACAUCUACAUGAAUUAUUCCAAGAAAUGAAGUUUUGACUAAAACACAGAGGCCUCGUUAUCCUCCUGCUGAUGCUGCGUCUCUCUCAGUGGCAGACGGCACAUCCUGUUUCCAUGAUGUCAUCACAGGAAGCAUCUCUCCAGGAGGAUUCCCUGUUCUGCUUCAGCCGCAGCUUCAGGAACAUUCCCGUUUUAUUUGCAGCGGAACACCGAGAUCCUGAGAGGCUGCACGUGGAGCAGCUCAUGACCUGCAGCGAUGCUCAGCUGAGCGGACUACAAUCCUGCAGCUGUUUUUUGCUCUGCUUAAAAAUGAUCACCUGAAAGCAUGAAGUACCGAGCUGAGGCCUUUUUCUCACUUCUCUAACAUUUCAUCGAGUACCUUUGAAUUUUUUAGUUGUUUUUGUCUACCUGCUGUUUGUAAAUAGAAAAAACAAAUGUGGUAAAGAUGAUAGAAAUGUACCUCCAACUUUUUGACUCAACUGCUGAUUUUUAUUUUAUUUUUUCCCAGAAGCUGGUGAAGCUGGAGCUAAACGGUCCAAACUGAACCAGCAGCUCAGUGUUUCCUCGAGGGUCCGUUUAGGUGCCCGGCUGUCUUCGGAGCGCCGUCGUAUGAAAAUAUGAUUUUUGUCUGAUCAGUUUAUGCACUUCACCUGCUGCUGAAGAGUGCUGGAGCAUAACCCAGUACUCAGCUUUAGAGUUUAAAAAAAAAGUGUACUCUACUCUGCAGCUCUCUGCAUUUAUACAGAAACUGUGCUGCACCCAGAUCAGCUGCUUACAC